UUCCUACAAAUUGGCAUCCUCAAAUGCA
rnacentral:piRNA from 1 species